AAUCCUCAAAAGAAAAGCUUUAACUGGCUUUCUCUUUUGGAAUUGGAGCGUGCUGGCCUUCUGUCUGGGAAGCCCAGCUCCUCUGAAAUACAUUAGCGAUGUGACAUCCGCAUGGCACCAUGCUUAUCUGGCAUUGAUAGUAUCUUUCAUGCCUGAGCGUGUUGUGCAGUUGUGGAAAGUUUUGCUCGCUCAUAGCUUGAUGGGGCCAGCCUAUCCUUUGACCA
rnacentral:misc_RNA from 1 species